rnacentral:rRNA from 3 species
UGCCUUAAGAAUGGAAUUAAGGUAUAGCCUGCUCAAUGAAAUUUAAAUAGCUGCAGUUUCUGUACUAAGGUAGCAUAAUCAUUUGGUAUUUAAUUGAUAUCUGGAAUGAAUGGCCUAACGUAUCUACUAAUUUUUUCAUUUUAUAAAUUUAAUUUUAUUUUUCAGUAAAAAAGCUGAAAUACAAUUUAGGGACGAGAAGACCCUAGAAAGCUUAAAAUCAAAGAAUAGUUAAAGAUUUUGAUUGGGGCAAUCUUAUAAUAAUUUAACUUAAUUUUGAGCCAAAAAUUUUGAUUAAAUACAAAGUUACUUUAGGGAUAACAGCAUAAUAAGCAGACAGGAGUUCCGAUUCUUUCUGCUGUUUGUGACCUCGAUGUUGAAUUAAUGUUCCUAGAAGAAGAAGAAAUCUUUCAAGGUAGUCUGUUCGACUAUUAAAUCUUUACA